ACUAUUUUGCAGAUAAACUUAACUGACAUACGUUAGGAACAUGGGACAACUGAAGAUAGAAGGAACCUCAGGAGAUCUGUUCUCCAGUCUUCUGCUCAUAGCAGGGCCAGCUCUGAGGUCAGAACAGGUUGCUCAAGAUGUUACCCUGUCAAGGCUUACAAAUGUCAAAGGAAGGAAUUUUCACAACAUCCCUGGGUAACCUGCUCCACUGUUUGGCUGUUGUCAUGGUGAAAAAGUGUUCUUUUGUCUAGGCAGAACCUUUCAUGGCCAUUGUUGUCUCAUCAUCCCUCCACCGUGCCCCUCCCCUCCCUUCCUUUUGAAAAACCUGGCUCCAUCUUCUCCAUGAUCUCCUCAACAGAUACAAGUGGCUGCCAUCAGAUAUCCAGUUGGUCUCUCCUCUGAGCCAGACAAAACCACCUUUCUCAGUAUCUCCUCAUGGAGUCCAGCCCCUAGACAUGAUGGUGACCCUCCAGAGGUCCAGAGAUCUUUUUGGCUGCCCUGCCCUACUCUGCUCUCAAACAUAUGUGAUGCUCCUCCCAACCUGGCAUCUCCUGCAGGAUCAGUGAGCAGGCACUCCAUCACCUCCUCCAGGUCAUGGAUAGCAAUGGACAACAUGGUUGCCAUGGUCUUCCACCAAUCUCCAUGACCUUCUGAGGACAACUGUGGCCUUGUCAGGACAUCGGAAAGUUCUCAGCACUGUGCAUGCACUUUGUCAUGUCCCAUUGACUUGUACAGGUCAAGUGCAACCUAUCUACAAUUUGACCUUCAUCCAUUGCUGGCCUGAUGGAGCAAUGAGGAGGUGGAAAGCUGAUUUAAAUUUGCCUGACAGACUCAAGAGCAAUUACCAGAGCCCAUCAAGGCUUUUCUCAACUGAGGAAAACACAAAGAGGGUAUUUUGACAAUGUGCCAUAGGCAGACACGAUCCUGCUUUAUGUUACUGUGUGAAUAAAUAGUGCCUGGCUGUGUCAUGAGUUUAUACAGGGAUUUGAGGAUCUGUUGAGGAUCUGCCAUCUAAGAGUUUCUUUUACUUCUCUGAACAGCAUAACAAAUUAAAUAAGUGUGCUCUCCGCAGCACACAGCUUUAUUGUGCCAUAAUAGGAAAUAGAAUAGGACAAAACAGUUAAAAACCUUGAAAAAAAAACAACAGGCAAGACAGAAACCAUGCAGGGGACAGAUCAGGGCUGAGCCAGAGCAGCUCUUUUUCAUACUGGGGAGACAUGGGGCUGCUUUCAGAUGCCACCAGCUCUGGGCAGUUUUGACACAUCUCACAUACAGAAGGUAGAAGUCCCACAGGUGAUCUUUCCUUGCUGGAAAAAAAAGUGUUUUCUCAAAAAUUUACCCUAGAAAAUGUCAGUUCCUCUGUCUCAUGCAAAGUCCAGUAGGACAGCAGGGUCUGGCCCUACCACACAUGAUGGCUGUUUGCCUCUGUUGCCAUCAUGGGGUCAGAUGUGUCCCUCAUGCAGCAUUCAGAGCACCUUCUGAGCAUCUCCA